AACGCAUAUGGCACCUGCCAGCCCUGCUGGAAGGUAUGCCUGUCUGAGAAUCACACAAUCCCUGAUCCGAUUGCACCCGUGCACCCGGUCGACAUGGGCCUUCAGCACUGAUCGCCUCGAAUUGCUCGCGAUCGUCGUGAUAAACAGGUGGCAGCGAUGCCGUCCAGUGUUGUCGACGAUCAACCCGUGCUCGUGAUCUCAGAUCAGGCAAGGCUACCCGCUGAACUUAA
rnacentral:misc_RNA from 1 species